AGGGGAAUCGCGGCCGGUGUCGCGCGCGGUCUUCAAAACCGUUGGGGGGCGUCAGACGUUCCCGGUGGGUUCGACUCCCACUCUCUUCC
rnacentral:tRNA from 1 species